rnacentral:rRNA from 1 species
UACAGCGAAACUGCGAAUGGCUCAUUAUAUAAGUUAUCGUUUAUUUGAUAGUACCUUACUACUUGGAUAACCGUGGUAAUUCUAGAGCUAAUACAUGCUAAAAAUCCCGACUUCGGAAGGGAUGUAUUUAUUAGAUUAAAAACCAAUGCCCUCUGGGCUCCUUGGUGAUUCAUGAUAACUCUUCGAAUCGCACGGCCUUGCGCCGGCGAUGGUUCAUUCAAAUUUCUUCCCUAUCAACUUUCGAUGUUUGGGUAUUGGCCAAACAUGGUUGCAACGGGUAACGGAGGGUUAGGGCUCGACCCCGGAGAAGGAGCCUGAGAAACGGCUACUACAUCCAAGGAAGGCAGCAGGCGCGCAAAUUACCCAAUCCCGAUUCGGGGAGGUAGUGACAAUAAAUACUGAUACAGGGCUCUUUUGGGUCUUGUAAUUGGAAUGAGUACAAUUUAAAUCUCUUAACGAGGAACAAUUGGAGGGCAAGUCUGGUGCCAGCAGCCGCGGUAAUUCCAGCUCCAAUAGCGUAUAUUAAAGUUGUUGUGGUUAAAAAGCUCGUAGUUGAACCUUGGGCCUGGCUGGCCGGUCCGCCUCACCGCGUGCACUGGUCCGGCCGGGCCUUUCCCUCUGUGGAACCCCAUGCCCUUCACUGGGCGUGGCGGGGAAACAGGACGUUUACUUUGAAAAAAUUAGAGUGCUCCAGGCAGGCCUAUGCUCGAAUACAUUAGCAUGGAAUAAUGAAAUAGGACGCGUGGUUCUAUUUUGUUGGUUUCUAGGACCGCCGUAAUGAUUAAUAGGGACAGUCGGGGGCAUCAGUAUUCAAUUGUCAGAGGUGAAAUUCUUGGAUUUAUUGAAGACUAACUACUGCGAAAGCAUUUGCCAAGGAUGUUUUCAUUAAUCAGGAACGAAAGUUAGGGGAUCGAAGACGAUCAGAUACCGUCGUAGUCUUAACCAUAAACUAUGCCGACUAGGGAUCGGACGAUGUUAUUUUUUGACGCGUUCGGCACCUUACGAGAAA